rnacentral:misc_RNA from 1 species
GAACUGCGAUAAGUAAUGUGAAUUGCAGAAUUCAGUGAAUCAUCGAGUCUUUGAACGCACAUUGCGCCCCCUGGCAUUCCGGGGGGCAUGCCUGUCCGAGCGUCAUUGCUGCCCUUCAAGCCCGGCUUGUGUGUUGGGUCGUCGUCCCCUCCGGGGGACGGGCCCGAAAGGCAGCGGCGGCACCGCGUCCGGUCCUCGAGCGUAUGGGGCUUUGUCACCCGCUCGAUAAGGACCGGCCGGGCGCCAGCGGGCGUCUCCAACCUUUUUUUCUCAGGUUGACCUCGGAUCAGGUAGGGAUACCCGCUGAACUUAAGC